AAACUAAUAAUAAAAAGUCAAAAAGGCUACUACCUAGACCUAUAGCCUUUAGAAAAUUCUACAAGUCUAGUAAAGUCUAUAAGUCUACAUAUAGGAACUUACAAUAAUUAUAAUUCUUUUACAUAAAGAUAAAAUCUAUACAAUGAUCAUAAAUAAUUCAAUAUCUUGUCUCCGUUGAUGUUGUCGUAUCUGCUAUAUCUCCAUUAUUGCUUCUUAUCUUAUUUUUCCAGCUGGCAUUUUGUCUUCUUUUAUUCUAGAUGUACUUCUGGAAUAAUGUUAUCUUCUCCAUUACAUCUUGAAAAUUAGUG
rnacentral:lncRNA from 1 species